rnacentral:rRNA from 1 species
UACGUAGGUGGCAAGCGUUAUCCGGAUUUAUUGGGUGUAAAGGGCGUGUAGGCGGGAAUGCAAGUCAGAUGUGAAAACCCAGGGCUCAACCCUGAGCCUGCAUUUGAAACUGUAUUUCUUGAGUGCUGGAGAGGCAAUCGGAAUUCCGUGUGUAGCGGUGAAAUGCGUAGAUAUACGGAGGAACACCAGUGGCGAAGGCGGAUUGCUGGACAGUAACUGACGCUGAGGCGCGAAAGCGUGGGGAGCAAACAGG